rnacentral:lncRNA from 1 species
UUUUUUGAUCAUUUUUUUUGUUUUUUUCGGCACGUGAUCUGUUUUGCAGGCUGUAAACAGCUUUAUUCAGCUUUUUCAACGAUUUAAUGGUGGAAAAAUUGGUUGUUUUUUUAUCAAGAAAAAUUCGGGGUUUAGGGUUUUCGCCAUUUCUGAAAUUUCAUGCCAAAUAGGGCAUGAAUCUUUCAAAAUUUGUAGGCAUAUUGAUCUUAAAGCUGUGAAUCAAAAGAUUUUGUUACUAAUUUGUGAUAAUCGUUGAGAAAAACAGACUUUUUUGGAGAUUGAAGG